CUGGGACGGGGCUCUCACGGCGCGCCCUGAGGACGGGCACGGUCGCCCGGCCCCUCCGAGCCGCUGCGCGGAAGCUGGGUCCGUCCCUGGCUCAGCCAGUCCGGGGCGGUGGGGAGGGGUCCUGCGCGCACGGCUCUCCUCACUCUCCAAUCGUGACCACCCCGGGCCCUUCCCUCCAUUUUUAAUCAAUAAACCAAGCCGCCCGGGGUGACUGUCCCCGCACCCAGCUGCCGCCUUGGAGACGAGGGUGUCUUAUAAGCCUGUAGAGCCCAGAAUAGGUUUCAGAAAGACGCUUCCUUGCCUCGGACCUCACUGGGGACCAGAGGCCACAGGCUCAGUCUUCGCAGCUGAGGACAGCGCCGCAGUAAGCAGAGACCUCGGGACGACGAAUGACGUUGCUGACAAAAAAUGAUUGAUUUUAAUUGUUUUAAGAAAGGAAACUGCUGGUCUCGAAAACAGACCCGAAUUGGGCCCUACUGCCUGUUCGCAUUGCAGCCUUUCAAACGAACGGAAUACGGGACCUCAGCCCAGGCGUGUUCUCCGCAGCCGCAGCAGCCAGUGAGCGUGGAGGACGGAGCCUAGGAGAGGCGCCUCCCCUACAGGAAAGCAGUGUUUGGGGAAAAUCGCCGUCAACGGACAGCUGGAAUUUUGUACCUGACCUUUGGCUCCCAGAAGGCAGGAGAGGAAAUGAAUGGACCAAGCUGGGUAUGGCGGAGAGGGCACCUCUGGGGGCUCCAAGGGGCACCUUGAGCUCAGUAGUGGGACAGCCUGAGUUUUCCAGAAAGAGCAGAAAUGGAGAGUGAUGAUUAAAUCUCAGGAUUUUUAAUUUUUAAGUGUUGACAACUAAUUAGAACAUUUUUAAAGUAGGUCAAACCACAGGCAGGCUGACCGGCUGCAUGCACACUUGCAAGGCAGGGCGCAGGCUCACUGCACAGCCGCUGCCCUCAGACUGGACUCAGGACAGAAGCAGAAUGCAGGACUCGCAUGAAACCGACCAGGUUCCAAGGCCCCUGGGUCCCAAAGGCCGGGGUAACUUUGAAGGUUCCCACGCUCAGGCCCCCACUCUUCAAGUGCGCUGCUACUCCAGUGAGAUUGUAAUGAGUCUGGUGCCUUGUACACACAGUGGUGUCUUCUCUGUUCUUCCAGGCCCUGGCGGGAGCCCGUCAUAAGGUAGUCGGGGCUCUGUAGGCUGGGCUCAGCGUCCUGCUCUCAUACCUUUGUUGGCAUUACCCAAGGGUCCUCUGGGGGAACCGCCCAGCCUGGCAGCUGCAGCAGCUGUGAAGCUCAAAGGGUAUAUGCCCACCUAUCCCAGCUUCCCUUGCAGGGAGGGUCUUGUGCACCGGGAGGCCCUGGGGGAGGUGGGAACCGCAGACAGCCAGGCAGCUCUACUGAGUCUGGGGCUUUCAGGAGAACCGCCUCCCUGGAGGAGGAGCUGGGGGGCGAAGGGGUGGGGAUACUACGUGACUUCCCUUCCUAAUGUGCCUGCGGUGAGGGGUCACCCUGGGGACCUCAGGCCAAAUUUUCUUGUAGUAUCUCUGUGUGAUUUAAGUUUUGCCACAAGCAGUUAGGACUUGUGUAGUUUGGAAGAAAAAUCCCACCCUGGCAUAAGGGGAAUUGUAACAAGUGCCAAUCGUAAGCACUGUGUUUAAACCCGGAAAAAAGUUUGCUCCAGGCUGUAGGCAAAGAGGUGGCAUUGGAGGCCGGCAGCUCGGUGGGCCUUCCAAGUUUACUAAGCAGGUUGUCUUUUUCAAUAAAAUAGGGCAUCAGACACGCUCACUUAUUAUAAAAAUAAACUAAUAAAAACAUUGUUUUGAAUUAAGUUUAAAACACAUUGAGAAUGAAACAAAUCUAAGUAUAAAGGGAGUCGUGGUUUCCAUGCUGCCGGCUGUGUGAAAGGUCUGUGGUGUUUGUUAUGGGACCUGUGCUUUUGUUGUCUGCCUGAGAUCCUUCAUCAUAAAACAAUUUAAAAAAAAAAAAAAAGAAA